AGGUUUUUAAAAAUGUGCCCCUCUUAGAGCAGGUUUUGAUUGGCUGGCACAGCGCCAAGGCAUUGUCACUCACAGAGUGUAAACAAGGCUCUGAUUGGCUGCUGUCCAGUCCGCAUUGGGCUGUCUGAAAGAAGAAGAAGGGGGGAAAAGCAAUAACUGGCUCUGCGGUUUCAAGGCGUCCCGGGGUCCGAUGAUGAAAGAUAAGCGGGAGACCGUUUCGAGGCGCUCCGAAAGGCGGACCCUUAUGGCCCAGAAGUCAUUUGUGUCAGGCGUGAAGUGAAGGCGCCUCGGCAAACGGGGAGAAAUAGUCCUAUUUAUAUUGUUUAAAAAGAAAAAGAAAAAAAAGAAAGAAAGAAAGAAACGGCACAUGAAAGGCUUUAAGAAUGCCUUUGACAAGAGAAGAACGUAUUGAAAUCAUUCUCAUGCCGGGAUCAGGAAGCUGUCAUAAGGUUGCGAUGGACAUGCAAGUACAUGCAUAGCACCAGAUGUGUUAACACGAGUUCAUCAUGAGUGGGAAAGACAACUCCAUGUGUGGUUUUUGUGUGUUUUACAAAAAUGUAAAUAAAUAAAGUUACACUUUGCUAAAAAGUGUUAAUUUCCCCUGUGUGUGGAGACUUUUGGGACACCCUGUAGAUUUAUUUGAUGAACAUAAUCCAGCUAAUAAAUAUUAAACUCAUUAUUCCAGUGUGUGCUGUAAUAUUCUGGAUGUAUUAGAGCCAGAGUGUUUAUUGUUCCUGAACUUUACACCAACAGAACACAUUAGGUUCAAGUUGACAUUAUUUAGAAGGCCGACACGAUUUUGAGUUAUUGAGAUUUGGUUCAAUGGGUCAACCAGUUAUUAAAGGGGGCAGUCAAACAGGAUAUAAGAUAAUAAUAAUAAGAUAACAAAUAUAAAUGUGAUGAUUUUGGCUUGUGAUUUCUGUUACACUGGGGUUGGGGGGGCGGGGGACUCCACUUUGAGGAUGACUGCUUUAAGAAGGUAAACUCUUUAAAUUCACUCAGACACACUUUAUACUUAUGAUAAUUGAUAUUGCAUGAUUAUUCUGGAUGUUAUGGCAAAUAGGCCAGUGCAGCCUACCUGUGAGGUUAUGCAGAGCUCAGCAGCCAAGCAUAUCUAGGUUAUUUAAUAAACCAGUAGGAUAUUUCUACGUUAUUCUGAUAUUACUGCACAGAAAAUGUUGGGUUUUUUGUUGUUGUUGUUGUUGUUAUGAACACCAGGUGAUGACUAUUUAGGCUUAUAUAAUUAUGGUUAUAUAAUUAUGUUGUCAGUCCCUCCAGGAUGUUGUGAUCACAGAAAUUAACGCAAAAUCAAGGAAAGUCUGAAAUAUUUGGAGGAACCUGCAAUUUUUGAAAAUUACCACAGAUUUUCCGCAGAUUCGAGCCAAUAAGUGUCAUGUGACAUCACGUGUCACGUGAUGUCAGCCUAAGCCCUCUUUGAUUCAUGUGCAUCGAACAUGACUAUAGCUAAAAUGCAUCACAAAUUUUGAAAAAAGCCACAGCAAAAUCAAGCAUUUUUGGCCGCAACAAUCCCCCCCCAAAAAACCUCUUCAAAAUG
ensembl:lncRNA